CCAUGUCAGAUGGGAAACUGUUUUCUGGUGGCAGAUCACCUGAAGAUUUUGGUUCUAGACAGUUUCCUAAGAUAUAUGUUCCAACUAAUCCGCAUGGUGCAGAACUACUUCCUCCAGGAAUUAUUGUGGCAGAAACUGACUUUUACUUGCGCAGAUUAUGGGGUGAACCUAGUGAAGAUUUGAAGAAGAAACCAAAGUAUCUCGUAAC